CACGUAGUUAGCCGUGGCUUUCUGAUUAGGUACCGUCAAGAUGUGCACAGUUACUUACACAUUUGUUCUUCCCUAAUAACAGAGUUUUACGAGCCGAAGCCCUUCAUCACUCACGCGGCGUUGCUCCGUCAGGCUUUCGCCCAUUGCGGAAGAUUCCCUACUGCUGCCUCCCGUAGGAGUCUGGACCGUGUCUCAGUUCCAGUGUGGCCGAUCACCCUCUCAGGUCGGCUACGUAUCGUCGCCUUGGUAAGCCGUUACCUUACCAACUAGCUAAUACGGCGCGGGUCCAUCUAUAAGUGAUAGCAAAACCAUCUUUCACUUUAGAACCAUGCGGUUCUAAAUGUUAUCCGGUAUUAGCUCCGGUUUCCCGAAGUUAUCCCAGUCUUAUAGGUAGGUUACCCACGUGUUACUCACCCGUCCGCCGCUAACUUCAAAGGAGCAAGCUCCUUAUCUGUUCGCUCGACUUGCAUGUAUUAGGCACGCCGCCAGCGUUCAUCCUGAGCCAGGAUCAAACUCU
rnacentral:rRNA from 1 species